AUUGGAAUCACAACGUAAUAAUUAACAUAAAAAUAUAGGUCUCGAAUUAAAACUAAAAAUUAAACAAUUUUGUCAUCAUCCAAUACGUGAAAAGGAAUUAGCCAAACAUGAUACUACAAUUAAACAAAUGAAAUUGAAAAGAUAUCACCACGAAAUCGACGAAACGUGAUUGAUUCCAGUUUUGAGCCGGUCUUUUUCUGCUUGAUUUUUUUUCCUUCAAUUUCAGCUCCUGUUGUGCGUGUAUAUUCUGCCUCUUCUUCCAGAUUUUUGUCUGCAUGUAUACAUAAUAAUUCCAGCAGUGGACAUCCCGUUUCUUGUGCAUGUAUUAUGAAUUGAAUGCCAAAGCAGCCACCUCCUUCACCUGGCUUUGGUUUCUGUGCGUAUCAAUAUAUUAAAUUGGCCCUCCAAAGCUGCUGCCAAUGUAUUUGUAUAAAUAGAUAAUAAGAUAGCCGCAAAUCUUCUCAUUUUCUCAAUCCCUGGGCAGCCCCAAAUAUGUGUGUCAAUUGUAUAUUAUUGGCUAUUUUUGGCCUCAAAUUGUGUGCACAGAUAUAUAUAUAUAUAUA
rnacentral:lncRNA from 1 species